rnacentral:lncRNA from 1 species
AGCUCUUGUUGGCACCAUAAAUUGGUUUUGCUUCACACUGUCUUGAUCAAGAGUGUGUGAAGCUUUCGAGAAUUGUGGUUGCCCUACUUUAAUGAAGCUCUUGUUGGCAUCAUAAAUUGGUUUUGCUUCACACUGUCUUGAUCAAGAGUGUGCGAAGCUUUUGAGAAUUGUGGUUGCUCUCCAUUGAUGAAGCUCUUAUUGGCACCAUAAAUUGGUUUUCCUUCACACUGUCUUGAUUAAUAGUGUGUGAAGCUUUUGAGAUUGUGGUUGCACUCCAUUGAUGAAGCUCUUGUUGGCAUCAUAAAUUGGUUUUGCUUCAAACUGUCUUGAUCAAGAGUGUGUGAAGCUUUUGAGAAUUGUGGUUGAACUCCUUUGAUGAAGCUCUUGUUGGCACCAUAAAUUGGUUUUGCUUCACACUGUCUUAAUCAAGAAUGCGUGAAGCUUUCUACAAGUUGUAGUGUUUGCAUUGUUACAGAUGGGAAAUGUCUGAAGCAGAUGAAAGAAGGUUGAAUAGCCUGAUCUUCGUAUGCCAUGCACUGAAGUUGUUGUUGGCUUGCAAUAAGACUUUGUUGGUGACUAUAACUCUUGUUGGGCAUAAGUGCUCCCCUAGUUGAGUUGUUAAGCUUGAGGGUUUUUGAUUAUUUGUGAAUGCUAGGAGUUCACAUGUAAAAAUUGUACCACUCGUCUUCUGGUAGGUGGAAUGAAUGGUGAGUUGCUUUCAUCAC